rnacentral:rRNA from 1 species
GGGGUUUCUGUAUGGGGCUUGCCAUCGAUAUCUUUUCUAAUACCCCGGGUAUGAAUGCGGCGGCGACAGUACUACUGGCUUUUCUACGUCCGUUGUUUCUUCGCUUGUUUACGCCUCGAGAUACUUUGGAUAGUAUCGUACCUUCGCUGAAAAGUAUGGGAAUUGCUUCUUUCCUUAAAUAUUUGGUGGUAAGUGUCUUUGUUCACCAUUUUAUGUUACUGACUCUUGAGUUCUUCUCAUUUACCAGCAUACCGUUAUUGCUGUUAAGGGUGGUGUCGAGCACCAUUUUGACUAUAACCUGUAUUAUGGCUGUUGAAGGAGUGAGGAGAUAGGUAUGGCAAAAGAUUAUGUUUUAGAGAAACGGAAAUAUGUGAUCGGCGGAGUAGCACUGGCUAUUGUCCUGAUUUAUCUGCUGCGUCUGUUUUCUCUCCAGAUAGCUACUGAUGACUAUAAAAAAAAUGCCGACAGUAAUGCUUUCCUGAAUAAGAUUCAGUACCCGUCACGUGGGGCAAUGUACGACCGGAAUGAUAAACUGUUAGUGUUUAAUCAGCCGGCGUAUGAUAUAACAAUGGUGCCGAAGGAAGUUGAGAACCUCGAUAUGAAAGUCUGUGGCUCAACCAUAGAAUUGCCGUUGAAACUGGGGGGCUUGAGUAUGUUUGAGGCAGGCGGAAUGCGUGGUGUAGCGGUGAAAUGCUUAGAUAUCACGCAGAACCCCGAUUGCGAAGGCAGCCUGCCAAGCCAUGACUGACGCUGAUGCACGAAAGCGUGGGGAUCAAACAGGAUUAGAUACCCUGGUAGUCCACGCAGUAAACGAUGAUCACUAGCUGUUUGCGAUACAGUGUAAGCGGCACAGCGAAAGCGUUAAGUGAUCCACCUGGGGAGUACGCCGGCAACGGUGAAACUCAAAGGAAUUGACGGGGGCCCGCACAAGCGGAGGAACAUGUGGUUUAAUUCGAUGAUACGCGAGGAACCUUACCCGGGUUUGAACGCAUUCGGACCGAGGUGGAAACACCUUUUCUAGCAAUAGCCGUUUGCGAGGUGCUGCAUGGUUGUCGUCAGCUCGUGCCGUGAGGUGUCGGCUUAAGUGCCAUAACGAGCGCAACCCUUGCCACUAGUUACUAACAGGUAAAGCUGAGGACUCUGGUGGGACUGCCAGCGUAAGCUGCGAGGAAGGCGGGGAUGACGUCAAAUCAGCACGGCCCUUACAUCCGGGGCGACACACGUGUUACAAUGGCGUGGACAAAGGGAUGCCACCUGGCGACAGGGAGCGAAUCCCCAAACCACGUCUCAGUUCGGAUCGGAGUCUGCAACCCGACUCCGUGAAGCUGGAUUCGCUAGUAAUCGCGCAUCAGCCAUGGCGCGGUGAAUACGUUCCCGGGCCUUGUACACACCGCCCGUCAAGCCAUGGGAGCCGGGGGUACCUGAAGUGCGUAACCGCGAGGAGCGCCCUAGGGUAAAACUGGUGACUGGGGCUAAGUCGUAACAAGGUAGCCGUACCGGAAGGUGCGGCUG